UACGGAGGGGGCGAGCGUUGUCCGAAGUUACUGGGCGUAAAGCGCGCGUAGGCGGGUGGGUAAGUCCGCUGUGAAAGCCCGGAGCUUAACUCCGGAGGGUCGGUGGAUACUGCCCAUCUUGGAAGGUGCUAUGGGGGAGAGUGGAAUUGACCGGUGUAGCGGUGAAAUGCGUAGAGAUCGGAUGAGGAACACCGGGUGGCGAAGGCGGGUCUCUGGGCAGUAAACUGACGC
rnacentral:rRNA from 1 species